rnacentral:rRNA from 1 species
UUUUUCGCAAUGGGCGCAAGCCUGACGAAGCAACGCCGCGUGGAGGACGAAGGCCCUAGCGGUCGUAAACUCCUGUCUAGUGGGACGAAAGCGACCUGGGUGAAUAAUCCAGGAUGUUGACUGUACCGCUGGAGGAAGCUCCGGCCAACCCCGUGCCAGCAGCCGCGGUAAUACGGAGGGUGCGAGCGUUGUCCGGAAUCAUUGGGCGUAAAGGGCGCGUAGGUGGCCCGGUCAGUCCGUGGUGAAAGCGCGGGGCUCAACCCUGCGUCGGCCAUGGAUACUGCCGCGGCUCGAGCACUGUAGAGGCAGGCGGAAUUCCGGGUGUAGCGGUGGAAUGCGUAGAGAUCCGGAAGAACACCGGUGGCGAAGGCGGCCUGCUGGGCAGUUUAGCUGACACUGAGGCGCGACAGCGUGGGGAGCAAAC